rnacentral:rRNA from 1 species
GACAGAGGAUGCAAGCGUUAUCCGGAAUGAUUGGGCGUAAAGCGUCUGUAGGUGGUUCAAUAAGUCAACUGUUAAAUCUUGAGGCUCAACUUCAAAAUCGCAGUCGAAACUAUUGGACUCGAGUAUAGUAGGGGUAAAGGGGAUUUCCAGUGGAGCGGUGAAAUGCGUAGAGAUUGGAAAGAACACCAAUGGCGAAAGCACUUUACUGGGCUAUUACUGACACUGAGAGACGAAAGCUAGGUAGCAAAUGGG